AUUAUGUGGUUUUUUUAAAAUUAAAAUCGUUCUAAAAUAAUAUCAAUAAUAGAAGUUUUUAUUUUAUAAAUAAAAAAAUGAAAGUAAAAUAUUAAAAAUCAGAAAAAUAAAAUAAAGUAAAAGAAGCAGAAAGUCCGAAGCAGAAGAAAUUUCCAAAGUCAAACAAAUCACUUUACUCUCUAUAUAUGUUAUGUGUAAAAGAAUGAUAAAAAGUUGCGGUAGUUCAAAUGGUUACUGGGUGCAAGUAUGCACCCAGGUUCAAAUGGUUACUCGGCGCAAAUCAUGGUGCCCUCAUCAAUUUAAAUUUUUUUUUGUUUAGUGAGAAAACCGUUUCAAACCCAACCGGGUUUUUGGUUCACCGGUUACUCGGUCGGUUCAAACCAAUUCUCACCAGUUUCCUACAAUCAGGGUUUAUUCAUCAAACCGAACCCGACCAGGCUGCGGUUCCUGGUUAAACCAGUCUAACCGGCCGGUCCAGUCCAGGUAUGAUAACCAUGCUAAGCAUUUGGAUUAAGAGCAAUUAAUGGAUCUGUAAAUAAAGUACCUAAGCCCCAGGUAAGAAACAUGGCUACAAGAAAAAUCACCUCCACCAGAAAAUUCUUAGUGAAGCAGCUUCAAUCCGUGUUUGUGUCUAAAAUCUGAAUUCAAAUGGCCUAAGAAACUCCUCCAGAUACAAUAAAUGACAAACAGUCUAGUAUUCUAAAGAAUGAACCCAAAAUAUGCACUCUAAAUAUUCAGAUUUAGAGCAAUAAUUGGAUGAGUAAAAAUGACAUGGUUAAUGUCAUGCUAUUUAUAACACUCAGCACUACUUUGCCAAAUCUAGCCAUUAUUCUUUUUGCCCCUUACAAAAAUUUUUACAAAAAUUUUUGCACAUCUAAGAACCAGAAAAACAGGAAAAGGACAGUAUGGAAGUGAAAAGUACUCCCAACCAAAGUUGAUGGUUCCCCCCAUAGACCAAACCUCUCUACUGAUUGCUAAUUAACUUUCACUUAAUCCUUCAAUGAGGGAUAUGCAGGAAGGAUUAGGUUUAAAUCAUGUCAAACAGUUCAAUCCAGUUUCUUCAUUCAAAACCCAUCUUGCAGAAAUGGUGGAUCUAGAGUUCCAAUCCCAGGUAUCCCAAUUUAGUUAAGUAGAGAAUCCCAACCACCGCCAAGAUGAAAGUAAUUGAUUAACCAAACACCCAUAUGCUAUAGCAACAAGAAGAAGCUAUGAUUGGGUAAAACCUUUGGAUACUCUGAUUACCAAAUGUCAUAAUAAACAAGAUGAUGUACGGGUUAUAAUCUGGCCAAUUAUUAAAUGAUGACAAAAGUUCAAAACUCUGCAACUAUAGUUUCUUAAAGUUUACAAUUAGCCUUUAGCCUAUGCAAAUCAGUGAUGAUUGGUUAUCCCCUUCAAAUAAUAUUAGGCACAAGCAUUCUCCCAGGAUUAACCUUCCAAAUUUUCUUACAUUAACUUGCUAUCCCAUAUAUCACAUGCAUUUGAAUUAUGAAGGUAGAACCUCAUUCAUGCACUCCAAGGAGAUAUCAAUGGUUUCUUAUGAAAAGAAUUUGUAACAUCUUAGGAAACAAGGGAGGAAAAGAAAACCUUAUUUUUACAAAGAGCUUAAAACAGCUGACCAAACCUUUGACUUUGGAGAAAUGCUCAA
rnacentral:misc_RNA from 1 species